GGGUCGUUAGCUCAGUUGGUAGAGCAGUUGACUUUUAAUCAAUUGGUCGCAGGUUCGAAUCCUGCACGUGUCU
rnacentral:tRNA from 1 species